GGCAAGGUAGCUCAGUUGGUCAGAGCACGCGGUUCAUACCCGCGACGUCGAGGGUUCGACUCCCUCCCUUGCUA
rfam:Bacterium CG2_30_54_10 isolate CG2_30_54_10 cg2_3.0_scaffold_9901_c, whole genome shotgun sequence.